rnacentral:tRNA from 14 species
CCGACUAGUUCCGGGUUCGAGUCCCG